rnacentral:rRNA from 1 species
AACGAACGCUGGCGGCAGGCUUAACACAUGCAAGUCGAGCGAAGACUUCGGUCUUAGCGGCGGACGGGUGAGUAACGCGUGGGAACGUACCCAGCUCUGCGGAAUAGCCUCUGGAAACGGAGAUUAAUACCGCAUACGCCCUUCGGGGGAAAGAUUUUUCGGAGUUGGAUCGGCCCGCGUUAGAUUAGAUAGUUGGUGGGGUAAUGGCCUACCAAGUCUACGAUCUAUAGCUGGUUUGAGAGGAUGAUCAGCCACACUGGGACUGAGACACGGCCCAGACUCCUACGGGAGGCAGCAGUGGGGAAUCUUAGACAAUGGGGGAAACCCUGAUCUAGCCAUGCCGCGUGUGUGAUGAAGGCCCUAGGGUCGUAAAGCACUUUCGCUGGGGAAGAUAAUGACGGUACCCAGUAAAGAAACCCCGGCUAACUCCGUGCCAGCCGCCGCCGUAACAC